rnacentral:rRNA from 1 species
CUAUGCGCCUUGCCACGCCCGCUCAGAAACUUAAAGGAAUUGACGGGGCCCGCACAAGCGGAGGAGCAUGUGGUUUAAUUCGAUGAUACGCGAGGAACCUUACCUGGGCUUAAAUGCUUAAUGACGUACUGGGAAACUGGUAUUUCUUCGGACAUUUUGCAAGGUGCUGCAUGGUUGUCGUCAGCUCGUGCCGUGAGGUGUCGGGUUAAGUCCCAUAACGAGCGCAACCCCUAUUGUUAGUUGCCAUCAGGUCAUGCUGGGGACUCUAACAAAACUGCCCGCGUAAGCGUGGAGGAAGGUGGGGAUGACGUCAAAUCAGCACGGCCCUUACGUCCAGGGCUACACACGUGCUACAAUGGCCGGUACAGAGGGCAGCCACUUGGUGACAAGGAGCAAAUCUCAAAAGCCGGUCUCAGUUCGGAUCGGAGUCUGCAACUCGACUCCGUGAAGUUGGAUUCGCUAGUAAUCGUAGAUCAGCAAUGCUACGGUGAAUACGUUCCCGGGCCUU